GUUAAAAUUUAAGCAGGGAUUUUUGUGGAGGCUGGGGGAGUGUCUGUGCAGCCUCAGCAGUCCCAGCUCACCCAGGAGCCCACAGAGCUUCCACCAACAUCCACGGCCCCAAGCCCUGUCCUGCCCAGGAUCCCAUCCCACAGCUGCCCUCCAGCCCUGGGGACUCUCGACUUGUGGGGAAGGCGUGCAGUAAAGAAGAAAGAUGUCUGAAAUCUGGCUCUGUCACCAUUAAGUCCUCAAAAGAUCCAUUGCUGUCCCAAACAAAUCCCUCAGGCUGCUGAGGCCUUGCUAACUCAAGUCCAGGAGAGCACGCUGCAUUCCACGGGCUUACAGCUCCACCCUUGGUUUCUAAGCGUUCUCACCUUCAGAAUGACAUUUUGACAAUACAUCCCCUUUCUACAUCCUUCCUGCCUCUGCUUUACCUCGUCAUCUAGAGGAGACACUAAGUUGUACAAAUAUUUCAGAUGCUGGGAAUGUGGCCUGCCAGAAGCAUUUCUCUCCCUGCACUCCACCACAUGCCUCAGAUUGAGCUGCCAACAUUACAUGGAAAAUGUUGGAGAAGAAGGAAAUUAUCCCUUUCAAUUUCUGCCAUUUCAUUUAUCUUGAUUCCCUGGAUUUUACGGGGGCAAAUUGUAGCGAAGUCAAGAAGGGGAGCAUGCUAUCUGACUUGAGGCAGUGAAACUGAGAUUUAUUGCAUAAGCAGCAGUGUAACCACAGGUGGCUCAAAGGAGGAAUCAGAAGUGUCUUGAAUGCUGUACCUGUUCAGAUUUGCAUCAGUUCUUCACCGUCUGAAUUCUGCUUGGAUAGCAGCUCAGUUGUGAUGGCGAAUUUACUGAGUUGCUGCUGGAAUUUUUCUACAAAGGACACCUUGAUAUGCUUCAUUCUUCUGGAACAUCUGAAAUGAAUCACAAGGAACAGAUGGAAUUUUCAAGAGAAAAAGAAAAUAAUAAAACGCCCACCAUAAAAACUAAUUCUCUAUAAAUAAUCUCAAUCAGGAAAACUUUUACCCCUGAGACAACCCAAGACUGCUUUUUUAGUAGCUCUUUCCCUUGUGACAAGAGCAAACUUUCCCAUGCCACAAAUCAUUCCCAUCCAUCAUUUUGAUACAAUCUGAAGGAAAGUCUGUCUACUGUCGCAAUGUGUCCCAUUCUUUUCAGGCUCAGAUAGGGGAGAAUUUGCAUAUUUGGCUGCUAAGACUUACUGAGCUUACAAUCAACAGUUAAGAUCUUUCUGGCCAGUUUUUACACUUCAGACCAGCAAUUUCAAUUUUGUAGUUAAGUCCUUGCUAAAUUGAUUUCUCAAACUGAGUCCAUUUCUGAUUAUGUUCUUCUGGAUCAGCUUCUGCAGUUACUAUUGUGUUGCCAAGUUCAUAUGACAUCAGUUACUGUAGAAGAAAGAUGUUGGUCUUUCCAAAAAGGAUGCAGGAUGGAUCAGUAGAGUAGUGUUGCUUAUUCAGGAGUUGAAUAUUUGUUUCCUAUUUCCUUGAUGGAACGGCCUUAACUCUGUGAAUUAGUCUGACUCAGUCUUCUCUAGAAGCUGAUUUUAACUAAGUUCUGAUUUAACAAAUUCUGAUGUUUCCUACAUGCUUCAGCAGCCUCCCUUCUUGGACCACACCUCUCAUUAAGGUCAUAGAACAAAACCACCUUCAGAUCCAUCAUUAACAGCUCCCUAACUGUCUCUCAGUUUCUUAUUCCAUUGCUAUGAUUGAAGCAAUAGGAAAAUGUUUGACUUGAAAGCAAUAUUCUUGUACCAAUGCCUAUCAAGCCUGUUUUGAUUGCAACUUAGAAAAAGCAGAUUUGUUUUCCUCAGUGGGAAAUAACUCCAUUUACUAUUGCUUUUCCCUUAUGUACAUUGCAAAUAAAAGAACCAGCUAAUGGCCAGGUUUUUAGGUGCUCUUUUCAGUCUUCGGUAGCUUGAGGGAAGAUGAAUUCUUUGCCAAGCCAGGAGAUUUGUAUGCCUGGUUUGAGUUAUUGACUGAAUGGGUCUGCACUGCACAAGGAAUUCCAGUAAUAAAAAGCUCAUUCCCAGCCAAUGUUAUUGGUCAUCCAUCUCAGGCAGAUGCUGGGAGACAGGGACUGACACUGAUGCUGAAAAUGUUGUAUCAGAAGAGCCUGAAUGAUGAUUUGAAUACACACAGAGAUGGAAGAGGGACCAGAAAUGGAAGGGAGCAGCCAAGCUUGCAGGUCUUUGCUCAAGAAGAUCAUUUCUAGGUACAUCACUGUUAUAUCUUCUGAUGAUAACACAGAGGUAAAUGUUUAGUUCCUGCAGUCUUUGGAGCCGUGAGGAUGACUUGCAGGCUGAAUGGUAAAUCCAAGACAGGACUGAUUCUUCUUGGGGCUCUUCUUACACACAACAGUGCAAAAUGACAACAUUCCUCUGGUUCUGUUGUUUUAUAAAGGUCAUAAAAUGUUAGCUCAAUGCAGGGCAAAAGGAAAUGAAGAUUUUAUACGUAAUCUGUUUCUUGUAACACCAGAGGGCUGUUGCAGAUCUCACCAGCACUCCUGUUUGAUAUUUUUAUUAAAUUCAAGAAACAAAUGUUACAAAUUUGACUUGGAUUUUACCAUUUUUAGAUUCUAUUUGCUGUAGGGUGAAGUUGGGCUGAAGUGUACUUGGCUAGAUGUUAUUGUAGGGUUCUUAGAAGGUAGAAGUGUAAAAAUAGAAAAAGAUUUUCUUUGAACUAUGACAAUGUGUUGCUUUCCUCUGUGCUCUCCUAGAAAUAGCUCUAAAGUAUAAUUCCUACUCUAGCUCCAAGCUAUGUAAUACAAUUAACUAGAAAAAAGAAUGACAAAAAGAAUUACUUCUUAUGGUGCACUUUCACCAAACAGAGAAAUGAAGACAGCUACCUAAAUUAUAUAAAACUGAUUAUACUAAGAGAUUGUCACAAAUGUCUUACAAAUAUAUGGGUGACUGCAUUUGGCAGCAGCUGGUGUGACAUUUCAUCCUUUGUCAAUAAAAUAAAGCAGUUUCAUAAUAUCACAUUUUGGUAUGAUACAGAAUAUAUU